GCGACAAACAUGUGUCAAACAGAAAUUCACGCUAUGGAUGACAUGACGAUGGCGAUGCUAUGAUUACGAUGAUGGUGGACAUCAAAGGAAUAGUUUGACAUUUUAUUUGUGUUCUCCUGCAUUCCACGGUUGAAGCUGCUCGACCAAUGACACCGCAGCCAACAAGCAAGAGAAAAUGGGGUACUACAGCCAAGUGGAGACUGCGGAGUCUAACACUGCUUCACUUUGGCUAAUGUUAUCACGUGCGUUUCUUGGUCAUUUCCAGCCAUGUAUUGUCAAAUGUUCUAUGACACUUAAUCCAUGAGUGACCGCACUGAUUUCACCUGAGAGGAGUGUGUGAGCAGCAAGAACAGAGCGCUGCAGCCAAACAGAGACUGCGGAGUCAAAUAUUUUGACAUCCAGGGCAAGUUAACAUUAGCAUGCUUGUUUGUUUGUUUUGACAUUUCUAGCCAAGUAUCCUCAAAUGUUAGAAUGAUGCUAGACUGCUCUAAUGAGCAACAUGGAGAAAAAGGAACGAUGCAGCCAAGUGGAGACUGCGGAGUACAUUAGCAUGUGUGGUGACCCCUGUCUCAUUUAACCACACAAUAAUGACACGCGAUCAAUGAGCGACUAUGCAGACUUUGUCCGAGAGUUAACUAUGUACAGCUUGAAAAUGGAGUGAUGCAGCCAAGAUGAGAUUGCGGAGUAUGAUUUUUGCAGCAAGUUAACAGCAUGUGCUUAUUUUUGUCAUUUCUAGCCAUGUAUCCGCCAAAUUUCCAAUGAAAUUCACCCAAUUAGCAACUGAGAAAAAAAAAAACGGAGUGCUGCAGCCAAGUGGAGACUACGGAGCCCGAUGCUUACAGUAUCCAGGAUAAGCAAAAGUUUUACCAUUUCCAGGGUAAGAUAACAUUAGCAUGUGUGUUAACUUUUGUCAGUUCAAGUCGCGUGUCCUCAAAUCCUCAACAACAGGAGCGCUGCAGCCAAGCAGAGACUGUGAGGUCCAAUACUUAGGUACUGUGUUCAAGUAUUU